rnacentral:rRNA from 1 species
AGAACGAACGCUGGCGGCAUGCCUAACACAUGCAAGUCGAACGAGACCUUCGGGUCUAGUGGCGCACGGGUGCGUAACGCGUGGGAAUCUGCCCUUGGGUUCGGGAUAACAGUUGGAAACGACUGCUAAUACCGGAUGAUGUCUUCGGACCAAAGAUUUAUCGCCCAAGGAUGAGCCCGCGUAGGAUUAGCUUGUUGGUGAGGUAAGAGCUCACCAAGGCGACGAUCCUUAGCUGGUCUGAGAGGAUGAUCAGCCACACUGGGACUGAGACACGGCCCAGACCUCCGUACGGGAGGCAGCAGUGGGGAAUAGUUGGAACAAGUGGGACGAAAGCCUGAUCCAGCAAUGCCGCGUGAGUGAGUGAAGGUCCUUAGGGUUAGUAAAGUCGUCGUUUACCCGGAU